rnacentral:lncRNA from 1 species
CUGCCUGAGUAUUACUCCAGCCCACUGGGUUUGUUCCUUUCACUCGGACCGGCAGGCUGCGCUCAGCUCACAUUACCAGCCUGGAUCCCAUACCUGCCAAGGGCGAGCCAGAUGCAGAGCGACAGAGGUGUGUGGGAAGAAUGAAGUAUGCAGACAAUUGGAGGGUGAGCAAGGCGAAGAGGAGCUUCCUUGAGCGACAGAACAGCUCUCAGGAAACCGGAAGUAAGUAGUUCCUUUCCACAGGCACGUCUUCCGAUGUCCGUGCAGCCCUCCGCAGAGAGCAGACCCAGAGUGUGUAACUCCUACCCACAGGCAGGUUGUCCGCACAUCUGUUGGAGUCUGGCUGAGUCAGGGUUUUUAAGGGUUCAGAGGGGAGGAAGUAUGUGCUGAUUGGUCUAUGGGCAGCCAUGGGUGGGCCUGGAAAAAACACCUUAAGUUCUCACUCUGGUCUGUGGAUUCCACCCUGAACUGACAGCCCAGCCCCCAUGCUUUGGGCAGUUCCUCGCUUGAAGGUAGGGCUUCACUGAGGACCCACCCCUUUCUGCCCAGAAGCCUGUCUGCCGCUUGCCACCAUCAAUCAUAUUCAUGGCGCCCAGGCUGUUUGUGCUGAGGAGCGCCUGAAGGCCUGCAGCGAGCUGGCUCAGUGCCCCCAUGCUCGUUGGCACCCAAAGUCCAGAGGGGGCCACGGUGGCAGGGGGCUGACAUGUCAGUGCCACCCCAAGCGCUCACACACCCAGCUGGGUUGCAACAGCACUUGGGCUUGGCCUCAACUUUGCUCUGCACCUGGAACAGGCACCGGGAGCAGGGAGAGGCCAGGCAGUGGGAGCAGGCACUUUGAAGCCUGCAGCGGCAGGGGAGCUUUCUGUGGCUCCCAAGAGCGCAGGAAAUGCCUGGGUCUGGAGCUACAGCUGUGCAUAGUAGGGAGGGGCUUCCAGCCUACCAACUCGGAAUGGGUUGGGGCUCCUUCCUGUUCCUGGCUCCUGCCCACUCUACGGAGCACGCAGCUCUGGCCUUGCCUUCCCUGCUGCAGCCAGCGUCUUCAGAGCAGCUUCUCAAGAUGGGCAGCCACUGCCAUCAGAAGUCCAAAACAAGAAUUCCUGACUGGCAACGUAGAAAUUGGUUUCUUCAGGAAGCCUUCCCUGCUUCUCUAGUUUGAGUUUCUUCAACUGUUUCAAAUGCUGGAGCAUAGCACACAUGAAGCAAUCCACCGAGGAAGCUCUGCUCAUCCAUUUUUCUCUUGGCUGUCCUUGCACUUUGGUCUCACUCUAUCAGCAAGACUGGAGUGCAGUGGCACGAUUUCAACUCACUGCAACCUCUGCCUCCUGGGUUCAAGUGAUUCUUGUGCCUCAGCCUCCCAAGAUUUAACAUUUCUUUGGAUAUUUUGUGUGUGAAACAGUGUAAAUAUUAUUUAAAUGUAGACUAUGAUUAAUUAAAUAUGUAUAUUGUAAGCCUUAAGUCAACCACGAAAUUUUCUUAAAAAUAAUGAAGUCAAUAUAGGUAAUAAAAGGGUCUCAUAAGUAUUGCCCAAUUAAUCUAAAAGAGAAACAGAAAAAAGAGAAGAGAACAAUAUUUUUAAAAGAACACAUGGAAGAAAUAGAAAACAACUGUCACAAUGGUAAAUUUUGACCAACCACCAGUAAUAUUAAAUGUGAAUGGCCUAAGUUCACCAAUUAAAAGAUGGAGAUUGUUAGAUUGAAUUAAAAUUAAAACAAAUUAAACUAUGUGCUAUCUACAAGAAACCUUUUUCAAAUAUGAAGUUAAGGAAAGGAUGCAAGCGAAAAGGAAGGCAAAAGAUAUUGUAUGUGUUAUACCUGAAUUGUGUCUCUCAAAAUUAUGUAUGUUGAGACCCUAAUUCCCAAUAUGACUGUAUUUGGAGAUAGGGCUAUUAAGAGGUAAAUAAGAUCAAGUGAGGCCAUAAGGAUAGGGUCCUAAUCCUGUGGGAUUGGUGGACUUACAGGAAGAGAGAUCUCUUUCUCCUUUUCCAUGCACAUGCGCACGGAAAGGCCAUGCGAGCACACGGCUUGAAAAUGGUCAUCUGUAAGCCAGGAAGAGGGCUCUCAUCAGAACUCAAACUUGCCAACAUAUCAGAUUUCUAGCCUCCAGAACUAUGAGAAAAUAAAUUUCUGUGCUUUAGACAUCCAGUCUAUGAUAUUUUGUUGUGGCAGUCUGGGCAGACUAAGUCACUAUACAAACCUUAACUAAAAGAAAACUUAAGUAGCUAUAUUAAUAUCAGAUAAACUUAAGAACAAAGAAUAUUAUCAGAGAUAGAUAGGGUAAUUAUGUAAUGAAAAAGCAGUCAAUUUUCCAAGAUGUGACAAUUUUAAGCAUUUUGCACCAAAAAACAGAGUUUCAAAAUACAUUUAUAAAAAAGAACUGAAAUCCCAGCACUAUGGGAGGCCAAGGCGGGUGGAUCACCUGAGGUCAGGGUUUGAGACCAGCCAGGCCAACAUGGUGAAACCUCGUCUCUACUAAAAAUACAAAAAUUAGCUGGGUGUGGUGGUGCACACCUGUAGUUCCAGUUAUUCUGGAGGCCGAGGCAGGACAAUUGUUUGAACCCGGGAGGCGGAGAUUGCAGUGAGCCAAGAUUGCACCAUUGCACUCCAGCCUGGGCGACAGAGCGAGGCUCCAUCUCAAAAAAAAAAAAAAAAAAAAAGAACUGAAAAAAACGGAAAAAUGCACAAUUCUAGUUGAAGACUUUGAUACUUUAAUCUCAGUAUUGAUGGAUAGAACAAAGUGUACAGAAAAUUGCUAAGCAUGUAGAAGACUUAAUACUAUCAACGAACUGAACUAAUAACAUUUAUAGAUCACUAUACCCAACAAAAAAUAUAUAUAUAAUAUUCUUUAACACAGAGAACUUUUGCCAAGAUACAUCAUAUUCUGAAUCAUAAAAAACCCUAAAAUUUAAAGGAAUGAAAAGUAUACAAAGUAUGUUCACAGCUAAUAACCAAAUUAAAUUAGAAAUGAUGAACGGAAAUACCUAAACAAUCACCAAUAUUUGGAGUUUAAGUAACGUACUUCUAACUAACACAUGGGUCAAGAGGAAGCCUCGAGGGAAAAAAAUAUAUAUAAUAUAUAUAUAUUUAAUAUAUAUAAAAAUAUAUAUUAAACAUAUAUAUAUAGAGAGAGAGAGAGAACUAAAUAAAACGAAAAUGCAAUAUAUCAAAAUUUUGGGGAUGCAGUUAAAAGUAGAUGAAGAGUUGAGAUCAGUAUGCUUCUGCCUUAAAAACUGCCUUGCUUAGUUUCCAAAUGUCUGGGGAUUUUUUGAUUACCUUUUUUGUUGUUGUUGUUUCCUAGUAGAAUUCCUUUGGGGUUAGAAAACAUUUUCUGUGUAACUUCAAUAUAAUAUUUUUUGAGAUCUGCAUUAUGACUCAGCAUGUAUUCAAUCAUUUUGUACAUCCUGUAUGCAUUUGAAAGGAACACAUACUUUUCAGUAUUGCAUUGUCUGUCAACUAGGUCAGAUAUGUGAAUUACGUUAUUUAAGUAUUCUAUAUACCUAAUGAUUUGAUGCCUGCUUGUGCUACCAUUUAAUGUGUUUUAUUAAAUGUUUAUGAUUGUAUAUUUCUUUAUGAUUAUAUAUUGCUUUAUUUCUCCUUUGGCACUUCAUUUUUGGGCAAUCUACUUAAUGUAUGCAUUUAGCUCUCAUAAGCUCAAAAUUAGACUUUUAUUUUCAAGUAGUCAUUCACAGUUUUUCCUAUUAGUCCCUAAAGUCUAG